rnacentral:lncRNA from 1 species
UUUAAAGCUGACUGGGAAAAGUGGAAGAAAAGCACAGAUAUAUGAAAUGUACAAAUGGGGGAAAAGCAAAAGAUCACAGAGAACCCUGGAUCUCAGUUUGGGUCUUCCUUGGUGGAAAUGUUUUGUCUGAAGCCGAUGAUUUAGUAUAAUACAGUCCACUUCAACCAGACUGGAGAGAAGACACAUGCAACUAUCUGGCACCAGAUUAAGCAAUUAGUGGUGUACAUGUAUGUCAAACUUUUGAUGAAGGAUGACAGAAAGUUGGACUUUUAUAGUCUGGUUUGAUUUUUAACUGAUUGAGUGACUGGUAAAACAAAUGGUUUGUAUGGCAUGGCUGAACAGAAUAGACUGGCUAUCUCGUCAGCAGAAACUUAACAUGUACUAAACUGUUACCUGAAAUUUACUAAGAGAAUAUGUACACAUGAAACUAGGUA